rnacentral:rRNA from 1 species
CCUACGGGAGGCAGCAGUGGGGAAUAUUGGGCAAUGGGCGCAAGCCUGACCCAGCAACGCCGCGUGAAGGAAGAAGGCUUUCGGGUUGUAAACUUCUUUUCUCAGGGACGAAGAAAGUGACGGUACCUGAGGAAUAAGCCACGGCUAACUACGUGCCAGCAGCCGCGGUAAUACGUAGGUGGCAAGCGUUAUCCGGAUUUAUUGGGUGUAAAGGGCGUGUAGGCGGGAGCGCAAGUCAGAUGUGAAAACUCAGGGCUCAACCCUGAGCCUGCAUUUGAAACUGUGUUUCUUGAGUGCUGGGGAGGCAAUCAGAAUUCCGUGUGUAGCGGUGAAAUGCGUAGAUAUACGGAGGAACACCAGUGGCGAAGGCGGAUUGCUGGACAGUAACUGACGCUGAGGCGCGAAAGCGUGGGGAGCAAACAGGAUUAGAUACCCCUGUAGUC